UUCAUUUUCAGUCAAAGACCAAGCGUAAAAUUUUAGUACCUUGUCCAUUCUACAUAGGUUCUAUAUUCCUAAUACUUGUGCCACAGCAAAUUGUGAAAUUUAUCUGCCCCUUAUCUUUUUUUUUAAACUGUAGCACAAUAAAAUACUUUUUUUUUUUCAGGAAGGAUUACAUGAUAGCUCAAAAUUAUCAGAUUUUUAUAACUGCAAGAAAUUCCCGAAGAUGUUGUUAAUGUCCUAAAAGGGUAAAGGCAAAGCAAGUAUUUUAGCAUCAGGCUGUUAUUUG